AGAGAGAGAGAGAGAGAAUGGUGAGACCGAUAGGAGUCUUUCUGGUAGACGAAAAGCCUGGUGCGUUUGUGUGUGUGCGUUUCUGCUUUGGCAGUUGGAGAGGCAAAAUUCGAGAAGUUGAAGAGUGUCCUUGGUAAGCAGCUAGGUCUUAUUCUUCGUUUUAUUUACAAUGGUGCCAUUGGCUAUGGAGAAAUGAAGUACAGCCACAUACGGGGUCAAUGAGUGAAUAACUGAUGAAAUGUUGAGACAUAACAGCAGGGGUAAAUUGGGGAUGAAAGGCUUUAGUUUGAAGACGGGAACGAUUAGUUGAUGCUGCUUUGCUCCGGCUGGAUACAAUGGUGAGCCUUCGCAAUGUGAAACUAACGCGGAGCUUUGAAUCUUUU
rnacentral:misc_RNA from 1 species